GAAAUGCGAUACGUCAUGCGAAUUGCAGAAUCCGUGAAUCAUCAAAUCUUUGAACGCACAUUGCACUUCUAGGUUGACUAGAAGUAUUCCUGUUUGAGUGUCUGUUCACCUUCCUCACUGAAUGCCUCAGUGGUCUCUGGGUCUUUUAAUUAUGUGCUCCACGGAAGUGAUGCAUGUUGACCUAAAACAAUUAACGAUAUCCAUAACGCUCUCAGGAUAAUAAUUUUUCCUCGAACACGUUAUGGGUAAAUAAAAUAUUCACCUAUCAGACCUCAAAUCAGGAGGGGAAACCCCCUGAAUUUAA
rnacentral:misc_RNA from 1 species